UGCAUUACGUGUGACCUGCCCA
rnacentral:miRNA from 1 species